AUGAUAAAAAAGGAUAGGACUAUUGAUUCGAAGUCACUACGAAAGGGUCGGUCAAUAGCAUAGCUCUUGAUUUACCCGGUCUCCUUUCGAAGGAAAGGCCUUCGCUUUCCUAAUCCGGUAGGGGGCCGGACGACUUUGUUUGCCCCAGCUUGGCUAAUCGCAUCCCCGCGCAACGACAUUCCGCCCCUUACCAUUCUCGCUCAGUCUUUGCAACGGAUGGGGAGGCAGUCGUAGAAGCGAAGCCUAUCGCCACGCCGACCAUAAAAGACGAGAUUGGGCCCCUUCUCAAAGAUUUGAUGGAAUGGCCCACCCAAGAGAAUAAUCAGAAUAAAAGUCCAGGUUGGUUGGUGAGCCUAGUGAUAGGAGACUAUCUAGCUUGGUUCGGAGAGCACUUGUUGGUGUUCCCGGACCGCAUGCAUACAUACGUAAGUAACUUAGUGCAACAUGGCAAAUUUAAUUGA